GGGGUACUCGAGUGGCGAACGGGUGAGUAACACGUGAGUAACCUACCCUUGACUUUGGGAUAACUUCAGGAAACUGGGGCUAAUACCGGAUAGGAGCUCCUGCUGCAUGGUGGGGUUGGAAAGUUUCGGCGGUUGGGGAUGGACUCGCGGCUUAUCAGCUUGUUGGUGGGGUAGUGGCUCACCAAGGCUUUGACGGGUAGCCGGCCUGAGAGGGUGGCCGGCCACAUUGGGACUGAGAUACGGCCCAG
rnacentral:rRNA from 1 species